rnacentral:lncRNA from 1 species
CGAUGGCAUCGAUGCACCUGGAGACGAGAUUGUUGUCCUCGGCAAUCGGGAGGAGCUCCUCGCAGCUGUGCAGCACACACAGAGAAUUGGCGAAGCUGGGUAAGACAACCUCGUUGACAAACGCUUCUGUUCUUCCCAGCAAGUUUCCUUGCCCGUACUCAUCCUUCAUUUCCAGGUACUCGGCGGCACAGCGCAGCGCAGCCACAUUUGCGGUGGUGAUCUCGAAGUUGAUGCCGUAGCAGAACUUGGCGGCCAGCUCGAAAGUCUCGGCUCCUCCGGGAACGUCUGGGAACUCGAUGCGGGAGAGGUCCAUCUCCCGCGCCUCGGCCACCGCCCGCCUGAUACGCCCGCAUCGAGCAACCAAGGGGAACUGCCAAGCCAAGUUCGCUCAUUGGUAAGUCCAAGAUCUCUGUUUGAGAGAAGUUUCUCACGCUUUCUUUCAUUACCUUGUGAAGGGAAAAGCUGGUGCCGGCUGCCUCAACUACGACGUCUGUGGGAACGUCUGCGGACAUGAUCCUGCGCAAAUAGGGGGUAAGAUUUCUUCUCUUUCUGCUGCCUCUCUACUUCGUACUCACCAUUGCCCAGUUCUUUUCUUGUUGUAGGAAGUCCGGGACACCAAGCGUUUGCUCUCCUGUUUCGGCAUGACGCCCACCAUCACCGAUCGAUCCUCUCAGCACUUGAUCAUAUCAACGAGGGGGAA